AUUUUCUGGAACUUGAAAGUCCUCCAGGAAGCGACUCCAUUUGUUGCCAGCUACAAGGCGUUCCCCGCGAACCCUGAUGGUGUUCCGGCCUUCCAUGCUAACCUUGAUCUGCUCCUUCAUGAAACCUGCAAAAGAAAAGGAAGAUAAAUAUUGAGAAUGUGGGAUUCAUCAUCUUGCUGCCAUUCAGAUACCGGCUUGAAAUCUUCGUAGACUGAUCGGACGACCCCUGAUCUUGUUGUCCGUCUAGAACCGGCACCGCCGCCGCCUCUCGACCUCAUCACCAUUUGCUCUGCAACUAGUUUUUUCUCAAUGUGGUAAAUCUGUUAUAUAACAGCAAUGUGUGUGUUGUGUGUGUGAGUGGCGUGCAUGGAUUUAUAUAUAUGGGUUUUGUGGGUGUAGUUUCUUGGUAUGAAUGAAAAACUAUUGGUUGGCAUUAGGGUUGCUUGUACAGUUUGCAUUGUUGGGAUUUGGAUUGGUGAAGAUGCAAUGUACAAGGAAUCUCUUUUCUUUCCUGAAGAUAUAACUUAACUCGAAAAGUGAUUACUUUUCAAAGGAUGAAAACUGGUCAUAUUACUUGGCCUUGUAUGCCAAGUAAGAAUUUUCCUACGUUGAAAUGGUAUCAAAAUGCAUUUGGAUUUUUA